rnacentral:tRNA from 1 species
GGCCUCGUAGCUCAGUUGGCUAGAGCUUUGUCUGAACCCAAGCCUUCCCCUUGCAGGGUGGGUUCGAAUCCCACCGAGGCCG